AGAGUUUGAUCAUGGCUCAGAACGAACGCUGGCGGCGUGCUUAACACAUGCAAGUCGAACGCGAAAGCCUGGGCAACUGGGCAAGUAGAGUGGCGCACGGGUGAGUAACACGUGGGUAACCUACCUUCGAGUGGGGAAUAACUCCUCGAAAGGGGAGCUAAUACCGCAUAAGACCACGGCCUCUUCGGGGGUCGCGAUCAAAGGUGGCCUCAUUAAGCAGAGUGUUUGGGACGAUCUUCCUGAGUGGAGGAUAGUCCUUAGCGCUUUGUAGAGUGAAGCUGCUGCUCGAAGAGGGGCCCGCGUCCCAUCAGCUAGUUGGUAGGGUAACGGCCUACCAAGGCGACGACGGGUAGCUGGUCUGAGAGGACGACCAGCCACACGGGAAUUGAGAUACGGUCCCGACUCCUACGGGAGGCAGCAGUGGGGAAUCUUGGGCAAUGGGGGAAACCCUGACCCAGCGACGCCGCGUGGGGGAUGAAGGCUUUCGGGUCGUAAACCCCUGUUAGGUGGGACGAACGUCCUCCAGCAAAUAGCUGGGGGAUUUGACGGUACCACCAGAGAAAGCCCCGGCUAACUCCGUGCCAGCAGCCGCGGUAAUACGGAGGGGGCGAGUGUUGUUCGGAAUUACUGGGCGUAAAGGGCGCGCAGGCGGCAUGGCAAGUCGAGUGUGAAAUCCCUUGGCUUAACUGAGGAAUGGCGCUCGAAACUACCUCGCUGGAGGGCGGGAGAGGGAAGUGGAACUCUCGGUGUAGGGGUGAAAUCUGUAGAUAUCGAGAGGAACACCGGUGGCGAAGGCGGCUUCCUGGCCCGUACCUGACGCUGAGGCGCGAAAGCGUGGGGAGCAAACAGGAUUAGAUACCCUGGUAGUCCACGCCCUAAACGAUGGGCACUAGGUGUGGGCGGUAUUAAUCCCGCCUGUGCCGUAGCUAACGCAUUAAGUGCCCCGCC
rnacentral:rRNA from 1 species